rnacentral:pre_miRNA from 1 species
AGGAGGAACAACCGCAGUGGCGGGGCCAGCUCUGGAGCCCUGGAGUCAGCUCCCGCAGUAGCUUCGGAGCUCUCCUCUGCAGGGCCUGGAGGCUCCCGGGCGGG